rnacentral:piRNA from 1 species
UGUUCCUGAAAUGGCGAGAGUGUGCCAAAGC